CUGCCAUCAGAAGUGCCAUCAGAAGCUCAGAGGGAGAGGCUGCUGAAGAAGUUCAAACUCUACAACUGCAGCAAGACAUUUUUGAAUGGUGCUCCUGUGAAAACUGUGCAACCAUGCCCACAGAAGCUGAGAAUAUCUGCUGCUAGGAGAUACCACAGGUUACCAGACGGCUAUAGGAGAUCGAGGAAGAAUUAACAUGUAUGGUACACCAUCCUGGGUUGGAGCCACUCUGUCUCAAUUUGUACUCCCUCCAGAAUGCCUGCAACAUAUACGCUGACACAUAUACGCG